GACGAACGCUGGCGGCGUGCUUAACACAUGCAAGUCGAACGGAAAGGCCCUGCGUUUGUGGGGCGCUCGAGUGGCGAACUGGGGAGUAAAACGCGAGUAACAUGUCCCUGAAAUUGGGAUAACAUCAGGAAAAUGGGGCUAAUACCGGAGAGAAGAUCUUGAUGCACAGGGGGGGAUGGAAAGAGUCGGCGGUUGGGGAUGGAAUCGCGGGUUAUGAGCUGGAUGGUGGGGUAGGGGCUUACCAAGGUUUUGAAGGGUAGCCGGCCUGAGAGCGUGACCGGCCACAUUGGGACUGAGAUACGCCCCAGACGCCUACGGGCGGCAACAGUCGGGAAUCUUGCGCAAUGGGCCGACGCCUGAUGCAGCGGCGUCGCGUGCGGGAUGCCGUCCUUCGGGUUGUAAACCGCUUUCUCCUGUGCCGUAGCCUGCUUGACGGUAAUUGGUCAAGAAGCACCGGCUAACUACGUG
rnacentral:rRNA from 1 species